rnacentral:rRNA from 1 species
GACGAACGCUGGCGGCGUGCUUAACAUAUGCAAGUCGAACGGUGAACCUCUUCGGAGGGGAUCAGUGGCGAACGGGUGAGUAACACGUGGGCAACCUGCCCCCGGCUCUGGGAUAACUCCAAGAAAUUGGGGCUAAUACCGGAUGUUCACCGCUUCCCGCAUGGGUGGUGGUGGAAAGGGUUUCCGGCUGGGGAUGGGCCCGCGGCCUAUCAGCUUGUUGGUGGGGUAGUGGCCUACCAAGGCGACGACGGGUAGCCGGCCUGAGAGGGUGACCGGCCACACUGGGACUGAGACACGGCCCAGACUCCUACGGGAGGCAGCAGUGGGGAAUAUUGCGCAAUGGGCGGAAGCCUGACGCAGCGACGCCGCGUGGGGGAUGACGGCCUUCGGGUUGUAAACCUCUUUCAGCAGGGACGAAGCGCAAGUGACGGUACCUGCAGAAGAAGCACCGGCCAACUACGUG